rnacentral:rRNA from 1 species
CCUACGGGUGGCAGCAGUGAGGAAUAUUGGUCAAUGGACGCAAGUCUGAACCAGCCAUGCCGCGUGCAGGAAGACGGCUCUAUGAGUUUUAAACUGCUUUUGUACGAGGGUAAACGCAGAUACGCGUAUCUGUCUGCAAGUAUCGUACGAAUAAGGAUCGGCUAACUCCGUGCCAGCAGCCGCGGUAAUACGGAGGAUUCAAGCGUUAUCCGGAUUUAUUGGGUUUAAAGGGUGCGUAGGCGGUCGGAUAAGUUAGAGGUGAAAUCCCGAGGCUCAACUUCGGAAUUGCCUCUGAUACUGGUCGGCUAGAGAGUAGUAGAGGUAGGCGGAAUGUAUGGUGUAGCGGUGAAAUGCUUAGAGAUCAUACAGAACACCGAUUGCGAAGGCAGCUUACCAAGCUAUUUCUGACGUUGAGGCACGAAAGCGUGGGGAGCAAACAGGAUUAGAUACCCUUGUAGUC